rnacentral:tRNA from 2 species
GGCAAGGUGGCCGAGUGGUUAAGGCGCUAGAUUUAGGCUCUAGUGGGAAACCGCGCGAGUUCGAAUCUCGUCCUUGUCA